CUACUCUGAUUUCUCUUCAGAUCGAAUAAGCUUUCGCUUUACUAAAGGUUUUCUGUGGAGAGGAUCAUCCAUGAGUUUUUUUGUUUUUUUUUAGGCCUUUCAUUCAUUGACGUC